CCUACGGGAGGCAGCAGUGGGGAAUAUUGGACAAUGGGCGGAAGCCUGAUCCAGCAACGCCGCGUGAGGGAUGACGGCCUUCGGGUUGUAAACCUCUUUCGGCGGGGACGCGGUACCCGCAGAAGAAGCACCGGCCAACUACGUGCCAGCAGCCGCGGUAAUACGUAGGGUGCGAGCGUUGUCCGGAAUUAUUGGGCGUAAAGGGCUCGUAGGCGGUUUGUCGCGUCGGGAGUGAAAACCAUGGGCUUAACUCAUGGCUUGCUUCCGAUACGGGCAGACUAGAGGCAUGCAGGGGAGAACGGAAUUCCUGGUGUAGCGGUGAAAUGCGCAGAUAUCAGGAGGAACACCGGUGGCGAAGGCGGUUCUCUGGGCUGCCUGACGCUGAGGAGCGAAAGUGUGGGGAGCGAACAGGAUUAGAUACCCUUGUAGUC
rnacentral:rRNA from 1 species